rnacentral:rRNA from 1 species
AUUGAACGCUGGCGGCAUGCCUUACACAUGCAAGUCGAACGGCAGCACGGGUGCUUGCACCUGGUGGCGAGUGGCGAACGGGUGAGUAAUACAUCGGAACAUGUCCUGUAGUGGGGGAUAGCCCGGCGAAAGCCGGAUUAAUACCGCAUACGAUCUACGGAUGAAAGCGGGGGACCUUCGGGCCUCGCGCUAUAGGGUUGGCCGAUGGCUGAUUAGCUAGUUGGUGGGGUAAAGGCCUACCAAGGCGACGAUCAGUAGCUGGUCUGAGAGGACGACCAGCCACACUGGGACUGAGACACGGCCCAGACUCCUACUGGAGGCAGCAGUGGGGAAUUUUGGUCAAUGGGCGAAAGCCUGAUCCAGCAAUGCCGCGUGUGUGAAGAAGGCCUUCGGGUUGUAAAGCACUUUUGUCCGGAAAGAAAUCCUUGGCCCUAAUACGGUCGGGGGAUGACGGUACCGGAAGAAUAAGCACCGGCUAACUACGUG